rnacentral:rRNA from 1 species
UACGUAGGGUGCGAGCGUUAAUCGGAAUUACUGGGCGUAAAGCGUGCGCAGGCGGUCUGUUAAGACCGAUGUAAAAUCCCCGGGCUUAACCUGGGAACUGCAUUGGUGACUGGCAGGCUUUGAGUGUGGCAGAGGGAGGUAGAAUUCCACGUGUAGCAGCGAAAUGCGUAGAGAUGUGGAGGAAUACCGAUGGCGAAGGCAGCCUCCUGGGCCAACACUGACGCUCAUGCACGAAAGCGUGGGGAGCAAACAGG